UACGAGUGCCUCAAGCGUUAUCCGGAAUCAUUGGGCGUAAAGGGUGUGUAGGCGGCUUUGUUAGUCUUCUGUCAAAUUCUUCGGCUUAACCGGGGGUCCGCAGGAGAAACGGCAAAGCUUGAGGAUGCGAGAGGUCUGUGGAACUCUAGGUGUAGGGGUGAAAUCCGUUGAUAUCUAGGGGAACACCAAAAGCGAAGGCAGCAGACUGGCGCACUCCUGACGCUGAAACACGAAAGCGUGGGUAGCGAAUGGG
rnacentral:rRNA from 1 species